rnacentral:rRNA from 1 species
GGACUACCGGGGUAUCUAAUCCUGUUUGCUCCCCUAGCUUUCGCGCCUCAGCGUCAGUCACAGCCCAGUUAACCGUCUUCACCACCGGUGUUCUUCCACAUAUCUACGCAUUUCACCGCUACACGUGGAAUUCCGUUAACCCUAACUGUACUCUAGUCCGUAAGUUUCAAAUGCAGCUCCGGGGUUGAGCCCCGGAAUUUCACAUCUGACUUUACUGACCGCCUACGCGCCCUUUACGCCCAGUAAUUCCGAUCAAUGCUUGCACCCUCCGUAUUACCGCGGCUGCUGGCAC